GUGAGAUAACACCACUAUAUCACGAUACUGGAGAUAAUGAACAGCUCGGGGUGAGAACACCACUAUGUCACGAUACUGGAGAUAAUGAACAGCUCGGGGUGAGAACACCACUAUAUCACGAUACUGGAGAUAAUGAACAGCUCAGGGUGAGGUAACACUACUAUAUCACGAUACUGGAGAUAAUGAACAGCUCAGGGUGAGGUAACACCACUAUAUCACGAUACUGGAGAUAAUGAACAGCUCGGGUGAGAUAACACUACUAUAUCACGAUACUGGAGAUAAUGAACAGCUCAGGGUGAGGUAACACCACUAUAUCACGAUAUUGGAGAUAAUGAACAGGGUGAGAACACCACUAUAUCACGAUACUGGAGAUAAUGAACAGGGUGAGAACACCACUAUAUCACGAUACUGGAGAUAAUGAACAGCUCAGGGUGAGGUAACACUACUAUAUCACGAUACUGGAGAUAAUGACCAGCUCGGGGUGAG
ensembl:lncRNA